rnacentral:rRNA from 1 species
GACGAACGCUGGCCGUGCUUAACACAUGCAAGUCGAACGGAAAGGCCCUGCUUUUGUGGGGUGCUCGAGUGGCGAACGGGUGAGUAACACGUGAGUAACCUGCCCUUGACUUUGGGAUAACUUCAGGAAACUGGGGCUAAUACCGGAUAGGAGCUCCUGCUGCAUGGUGGGGGUUGGAAAGUUUCGGCGGUUGGGGAUGGACUCGCGGCUUAUCAGCUUGUUGGUGGGGUAGUGGCUUACCAAGGCUUUGACGGGUAGCCGGCCUGAGAGGGUGACCGGCCACAUUGGGACUGAGAUACGGCCCAGACUCCUACGGGAGGCAGCAGUGGGGAAUAUUGCACAAUGGGCGGAAGCCUGAUGCAGCAACGCCGCGUGCGGGAUGACGGCCUUCGGGUUGUAAACCGCUUUCGCCUGUGACGAAGCGUGAGUGACGGUAAUGGGUAAGGAAGCACCGGCUAACUACGUG